CUACGGGCCGCUCCAGUGGGGAAUAUUGGACAAUGGGCGCAAGCCUGAUCCAGCAAUGCCGCGUGAGUGAAGACGGCCUUAGGGUCGUAAAACUCUUUCGCUAGGGAAGAUAAUGACUGUACCUAGUAAAGAAGUCCCGGCUAACUCCGUGCCAGCAGCCGCGGUAAUACGGAGGGGACUAGCGUUGUUCGGAAUUACUGGGCGUAAAGAGUUCGUAGGCGGACUGACAAGUUAGAGGUGAAAUCCCAGGGCUCAACCCUGGAACUGCCUUUAAAACUGUCAGUCUAGAGACCGGAAGAGGUUAGGGGAAUACCUAGUGUAGAGGUGAAAUUCGUAGAUAUUAGGUGGAACACCAGUGGCGAAGGCGCCUAACUGGUCCGGUACUGACGCUGAGGAACGAAAGCGUGGGGAGCAAACAGGAUUAGAUACCCUUGUAGUC
rnacentral:rRNA from 1 species